ACGAUUCGAGACCUCCACCGCCAUCGUCUGCUCGAUGCUUCGGCGUUUCUGCAGGUAGAACUUAAUACGUUUUUUUUAGGGUUUUAGUGAUUUUGUCUUAAUCUUACUCAUGACACGUAGGCGAUUCGGGUAGUCCUUAGAACGGGCGAACAGUUCGUUUUGUUAACCUAAAUUACAUUUUGCACAUCUAUAUAUUCAACAAAAUAUCACUUUGGACCCUUUAUUUCUGAUUCAAAAAUGAUAUGCUUAGUUUUACCAUUUUAAUUUAUCAUGUAAUGUGGAAUAAUCUGUAAUCUUUAAAUAUAAUUAAUUUAUUUAUAGGAACCGAUGUACCAGUAGUUGUAAUGUGUGUUAUAUCUAAUGAUUAAUUAGGGAUUGAUUUCAAAUAAGAUUCGAAUUUUGUUUCUAAUAUCAAUUUUUGGACUCGCUUCGCAAUAGGGACGGGCAUGGAGGAGUUUCAAAUUGUAUUCAACACUGCAACUAAUAUUUUGCCCGAGAGAUUGGCCAUAACUUUUGUAUACAUAUUCAUCAUUAGAGAAUUGCAUUUUUGUUGUGGUGUUGUGUCGCACUUAACGGCAUAGUUGCUUGGGAUUCACUGAAGAAACUGUUAAUUGGGUAUGCGAAGUUGAGCAACGAUGUGAUUCGGAAGAUAUUAGAUGGUAGUCCAGUAUUGGAGAUUCUGGAAUUGUAUUACUUUUACGGUGAUACCAAUCGAUUGCGUGUUAGUAACGCAAGUGAUAAAAAAAUGGUCUUGAGACAAUUUUGGUGUGCUAGUGGCACCCACAGAGAUGGUUCGAAUGUUCAGUCAUUGGAGAUAUUGGGAUGCUUAAGGAACAGGAAUUAUCGGGCGGGGGAUAUGUCAUCUUUGGUUGAUGCUCCCCUUGAUUUUGACUUGCAACGAUUUAGCAGUGAUGAUUAUGAGAGAUUUCUAAAUAUACCCAAGAGGACUUCUUGAGAGCCUUGUUCAUUCAUGUGAAGAAUAUUACUUUGGUACUUGGGUUUUAGAGGCACUUCUUUCAGUUGAAUUAUAAAAUGUUGCAUUAUCUUUACCGAUUGCAAUAUUACUUCCUUUCAUGUAUAAAACAUUUGCUAGUAAGUUAGUGGCAUUGUUUUUGUGCGUUGGUUGAAUGUAAACUUGUCAUAAAGAAUUAUGUGAUUUCUUUGUGUUAGAGUCCUUUGCUAUGUAUUUGUAUUUCUCAAAAAACUGUUGUCCAUUUUCCUAGUUCAAGCAAAACAAACUUUUAAAUUACCUUAUUUGUAUGGAAAUAAAGGUCUUCAAUGGGCUGAGUUGGGUCGCCCUAGUCCGUUUUUGGGCAGGUUGUGUCAGGCCCGGGCUAAGUUUGAUGGGCUUUAAUUAGUCAACAAGUCGGGCUAGGGCGGGUCCGUCCAUUGGGCAAAAGAUGAGACUCCAUGUACACGGAACUUAAGGGAAAUGAGCCUACGGACCGGGCCUAUGGGCAUUCAAAUAUUUUUUUUAAAUAUAUUUUAUUCUAAAUUAAAAGACUAAAAUAUCAAAAAUAAAAAAUUUAAUGCGUAAUUAUAUAAAAUCAUCCAUAUAUAUUGAUUCUUUAUAUAUAAAAUAUAAAAUGUUGUAAACAAUUGAAGUUAGGGAGAGAGAUUGCAUCACUACAGUAUAAGUAUAUCCCAAUUAGGCCGGUACAUAUAUAUCUAUCAAUCAUUUGCACAAUUCUCUAAAAAAAGUUACUAAUUUCAUGAGAUAACAAAAAGUGAUACAUGAAAUAAAAAAAAUUAUUUGUCAUUAUUCUUUAUUAGGUGAACUAUCCUCAAUUCAUGAUGAAUUUGAUAAUGAUAAAUUUUUCAUUUUAGCUUCAAGUUCUGUCACAAUCUCUUUUUCUUGCCUCUACUAUCUUCCAAUGACCAAUCUUUCAAACAAAUUAGUGCUUCAGCAGUUUCUGAAUUUAGACUAUUUUGUGUUUUAGAUAUGACACAAUCACUAACACUAAAAGCAGCUUCUGAUGCAAUAGUUGAAACAAGAACAAUUAGAAUAUCACAAGUCAUGGCGGGAAGCACGGGACAAUAUAAAUUGUUCAUUUCUUAGCUCUGUACCUGUCUUAAGGUGCUCUUUAACCAAGCAAGCUUAAUAUUAUUUUUAUCAUUCCACAAUGCAAAUUUUUUCCCCAGUGUUCUUUCCUAAUGUCAAAUUUCAUAGAUGUUGAAAAGAUACAAAUUGCAAGGACAGUUGCAGUCAAAAGUUGAUUUGGUUAUUAAAUCACUUUAUUUUAUUUUAUUCAAAUUUUUACUGUUGAUGAGUUUCAAAGGCUUGUUUAUUAUUUUCGAGAUAAGAAAAAAAUAGGAAAUAAAUAAUAUUAUGAGAUCAGGAAGGUGGUGAUGGGAGAUGAGUAUACUUAUCCCCCAUUGUAGGAGAUUAAUAAUCUGGAAGGAUGACUAACCCUAUAUAGUUUUUAUUUGCCAAACAUGAGUUUUGUGAGACGACCCACGAGAUAGCUAAUCCAAUCCCCCACUUUUAUCCCUCAGCCAAACACAGUCAAAAUCUAGAGGAACCACUUUGGCCAUUUAUAGACCACCCAAACCAACAUCUCUAUUAUCAAUGGUUCAAAUCAAAGCUAUAAAGAAAAAUAAAAAUUCAAAUGGCCAAAAUAAAAGACAAGUUCGGGCCUCGCACCGGGGUUUGGGUUGGGUCACGAGGCAGGCUUUGGGUCGGUCCACAAGUUUUAAAAUUAGAUUCAAGCUCAGCCCAUAUUAUAUUAUCUGGGCUUGGACAGAGAUUGAGCUCUCUGAACUAUGGGUUGAACCAAAGUCCGUUGAGCUGGGCCGAACUUGGGCCGGCGGCGAGAUUUUUGAUGACGCUUAUAUGAAAAUAAACUGUUUGCUAACUUGGUUUUCACACAAAGCUAUAUAUGCGCAAGUGUAAGCCUGUUUUGAAGGUGCUCCUGCCCGCAUGAUAAUUUCAUAAAAGGGGCACCCGCUCCACAAAUCGUUGACUUAGGAAUGAAGAUCGAAGGAUGAUAUUGAAGUAUGCAACGAAGGUCGAGGAUCAAUUCAUUUACAACAAUGGCAUUUCCCCAAAAUCCUCUCCCCGAAGCAAAAGUCUCGCAGUUAAAAAAGAAGAUGCUUCUCCACCCAACUCCGAACGCGACCAUGGAAGCUGCGAUUCCGAUGGCUGCCCAGUUUACGAGCCCACUCACUCAUGGCCAAACGCCCCAAGGCUCACCGAGGAAGAAAAAUCCCCACCGAUCGAAUCAGCGAUUUGCCCGGUGCAAUCCUGGUUUGUAUUCUCUUAACUCUUACCAAUCGAAGACGUCGUCAAAACCCAAGUCUUGUCCAAACGAUGGCAAUUCCUUGGCACUCGCAUUCCAUCCCUCGUUUUCCGUUACUGCUUCCGUGAUCCCGAUGACGACGACGAAAGCGACCGAAAUCGCGAUUUUGUUUUCGUUGAGAAAACCCUAAUUCUCUGCAACUGUUCUAAGCUCAAGAAAUUGGGGUUUGAUUUGAUAGCUUCAAGAUGGAGGACUGGAGAAAAGAAUGGAUAGCAUAUUCGAACAAAGGCAUAUGAAGUCAAAAAUCAAAUUACAGGCCAAUCCAAGACAGAAGAAAGAUUUUGCAUUACCUUCGUAACGAUUUAUCAAAAGAUGGACCCAACAGUUUCGAAAGAUGUACACAAGAUGACCUAAUCAUAUCAAGAAUUUACAGAGAGAAAAGUAUUGGCUUUCCCCAUCAAAGACUAGAUAAAAAUACAAAGAUAAAUAAGAAUAAAAACAAGAAAUUGUGGUAUAUGUUUCUUCCUUCCUAAAUUCUUUCGAGUAUCAACAAGCGCCUCUCUCUAAGCUAGCGCCAUUAAGAGAGGGCCCCUUCUGCCAUGGCUUUUAUCAAUUUUAUGAACUCUGGUUCACUAGAAACACUCCAUGGAUUCACAGCCGAUACUUGAGCAGAAUACAAGCGUGAAGAGUUACUUGGUCGUGCUUGUGUUUCGUAGAUCAUUGUACUAAGUACAGAGUCGAAAUUUUGCGGUGAAUCCAUAGCCAUGAAGAACAUGGACACUUCAACCUUGUGGUGGAUUUCUAGACUGCCCACUAAAUCUACAAGGUCAAUUAAGUCCGAUACAAAAUGUCUAGGAAUGUAGAACACCUCUGAGCUGCAUAUUGUGAGGCUCCGGUCACUCGGGCCACUUUCCUUAUAGUUGACCUGAAAGUGGACUGGCAUUGUGCUCACCACUUUCUUCACCAUACUUGCUUGUUUUGAGUACCAUGAGGCGUUUCCAGUAACUGGCACGGUAGUCCAAGACCGUGGCACCCACAAAAGGAAAAAUUUAAGAGAGAGAAAGAGCGAGAGGUCGGGUUACUAUCGUCGGAGGUGUAGGUUACCUUGUCGGUGAUCCAAAGAUUUGCUUUGUCCGCUUGCAACAAAUUCCAGUAGUAUAGAAUGGUGUUGUCUCGAAGGAACAAGAAUCCUUCCGCGCUAGUAAACCUGCUAAAUAUCUUGGGCAAAUACCUGCACGCCAUUUCUGAAAGCAUUAACAGAGAAGAUCAAUAAAAAGGGUGAUGUACGAGGAAUUAUCGACAUCAAGAGUGCAUAUGGCAUGCAAAUCCACAUUACUCCGUAUUGGUUGCAGUUGGCAUCCAGCAUGAAUAUUCGCUUACAUUUGCAACUAAUACUACCACUCUUGUUCAUAAAUAUACUGGAGUGAAAGGAAAAGUAAUAGUAUAGUUUUGAUAAACUUCAAAAACAAUCAAAAAUUGUUCCUAAUAACAAAAACAACUAGUCAUCGUUCAUGACCAGUAGCAUAUCUUUUGAUCAUGAAGUUGAUGUUGAUGUUGCAGUACGUAAAUAUCAAACUGCAUUUUCCAGGCUCAUUCUCCUCGAGCCUCUUCUAGUUAUUAUUUUUUUCUUUUUUGGCUGUGAAUCUCACGUCCUUCUCGCUCCAAAACCAUUCUUUCGCCAUCGAAUAGCUUAAAUCCAAAAUUCUCUCAGACAACAUAUUCUUUAUAGACUUCCACAAAAUCAAAAACUUAAUGAGACGA
rnacentral:lncRNA from 1 species